rnacentral:rRNA from 1 species
UACAGAGGUCUCAAGCGUUGUUCGGAUUCAUUGGGCGUAAAGGGUGCGUAGGCGGCGCGGUAAGUCGGGUGUGAAAUCUCGGAGCUUAACUCCGAAACUGCAUUCGAUACUGCCGUGCUUGAGGACUGGAGAGGAGAUCGGAAUUCACGGUGUAGCAGUGAAAUGCGUAGAUAUCGUGAGGAAGACCAGUUGCGAAGGCGGAUCUCUGGGCAGUUCCUGACACUGAGGCACGAAGGCCAGGGGAGCAAACGGG